rnacentral:rRNA from 1 species
UGGGGAAUAUUGCGCAAUGGGCGAAAGCCUGACGCAGCAACGCCGCGUGAGUGAAGAAGGUCUUCGGAUUGUAAAGCUCUGUCUUUGGGGACGAUAAUGACGGUACCCAAGGAGGAAGCCACGGCUAACUACGUGCCAGCAGCCGCGGUAAUACGUAGGUGGCGAGCGUUGUCCGGAUUUACUGGGCGUAAAGGGUGCGUAGGCGGAUGAUUAAGUCAGAUGUGAAAUACCAGGGCUCAACCCUGGGGCUGCAUUUGAUACUGGUUAUCUAGAGUGCAGGAGAGGAGAGCGGUAUUCCUAGUGUAGCGGUGAAAUGCGUAGAGAUUAGGAAGAACACCAGUGGCGAAGGCGGCUCUCUGGACUGUAACUGACGCUGAGGCACGAAAGCGUGGGGAGCAAACA